rnacentral:rRNA from 1 species
GGAAUUGCCUUUUAGACUGCCUCGCUUGACUCUUGCACAGGCCAGUGGAAUUCCGAGUGUAGGGGUGAAAUGCGUAGAUAUUCGGAAGAACACCAGUGGCGAAGGCGGCUGACUGGACAUGUAUUGACGCUGAGGUGCGAAAGCGUGGGGAGCAAACAGGAUUAUAUACCCUGGUAGUCCA